rnacentral:rRNA from 1 species
AUUGAACGCUGGCGGCAGGCUUAACACAUGCAAGUCGAGCGGGGGAGGUUGCUUCGGUAACCGACCUAGCGGCGGACGGGUGAGUAAUGCUUAGGAAUCUGCCUAUUAGUGGGGGACAACAUUCCGAAAGGGAUGCUAAUACCGCAUACGCCCUACGGGGGAAAGCAGGGGAUCUUCGGACCUUGCGCUAAUAGAUGAGCCUAAGUCGGAUUAGCUAGUUGGUGGGGUAAAGGCCUACCAAGGCGACGAUCUGUAGCGGGUCUGAGAGGAUGAUCCGCCACACUGGGACUGAGACACGGCCCAGACUCCUACGGGAGGCAGCAGUGGGGAAUAUUGGACAAUGGGCGGAAGCCUGAUCCAGCCAUGCCGCGUGUGUGAAGAAGGCCUUUUGGUUGUAAAGCACUUUAAGCGAGGAGGAGGCUCUUAAGGUUAAUACCCUUGAUGAGUGGACGUUACUCGCAGAAUAAGCACCGGCUAACUCUGUGCCAGCAGCCGCAGUAAAAC